rnacentral:piRNA from 1 species
UGCUGAAACGCUGCUGCUCGGGGCUGGCAGA